rnacentral:rRNA from 1 species
UCUGCCCUGAACUCUGGGAUAAGCCUGGGAAACUGGGUCUAAUACCGGAUAUGACCUUACAUCGCAUGGUGUUUGGUGGAAAGCUUUUGCGGUUCAGGAUGGGCCCGCGGCCUAUCAGCUUGUUGGUGGGGUAAUGGCCUACCAAGGCGACGACGGGUAGCCGACCUGAGAGGGUGAUCGGCCACACUGGGACUGAGACACGGCCCAGACUCCUACGGGAGGCAGCAGUGGGGAAUAUUGCACAAUGGGCGCAAGCCUGAUGCAGCGACGCCGCGUGAGGGAUGACGGCCUUCGGGUUGUAAACCUCUUUCACCAGGGACGAAGCGUGAGUGACGGUACCUGGAGAAGAAGCACCGGCCAACUACGUGCCAGCAGCCGCGGUAAUACGUAGGGUGCGAGCGUUGUCCGGAAUUACUGGGCGUAAAGAGCUCGUAGGCGGUUUGUCGCGUCGUCUGUGAAAUUCUGCAACUCAAUUGUAGGCGUGCAGGCGAUACGGGCAGACUUGAGUACUACAGGGGAGACUGGAAUUCCUGGUGUAGCGGUGAAAUGCGCAGAUAUCAGGAGGAACACCGGUGGCGAAGGCGGGUCUCUGGGUAGUAACUGACGCUGAGGAGCGAAAGCGUGGGUAGCGAACAGGAUUAGAUACCCUGGUAGUCCACGCCGUAAACGGUGGGUACUAGGUGUGGGGCUCAUUUCACGAGUUCCGUGCCGUAGCUAACGCAUUAAGUACCCCGCCUGGGGAGUACGGCCGCAAGGCUAAAC